GCGAACUUGCUGCAAACAUGAUUUUUAUUUGAAAUUAGAUUGUCACGUCAAAUAUGACAAAUCAAGUUUGUGGCAAUAUUGCUGUAAGCUUUUUGAUUUAGGUAUGAUGUUUCAAGGCUUUUUUAAUUUUGAAGCAAGUUUGCAUUUUGCGCUAUGUUUCAAAGAUGAAGUAUCAAGUUUGUUUUUUGUUUGUUACAAACUUGCGUUAAACUGUCAUACGCAUGGAGCAAAUAAAUAAUCACUAGUGGUCAUACGCCAACGUCACUCGCCCGAAGCCAUAAAAAAGAAAACAAAAACUUCCGGUUCCGGAAGAAAAAACAGCCAAGUGUUUUGCACUUUUGCAGCAUACUCUCUUCUAAUCUGUGUUUUGCAGUGCACAAAAUCAGUGGUAGAACGUAGAACCUACAAGGUUUUUUGUUUUGCACGGUGUUUUAUUUAAUAAACGCUUCUGUUGUGCGAAUUGGACGCGUGACGUGCUGAAGAUUAAAGACUUUGCAUAAUGGAAUCAAAAAAAUUUUUUUUGUUUACAUUUUUAGAUGAAGAUGAUGCUCCUGGCAUAGUUUCAUCAAAGUGGUUAAGAUACCAACACUUGUUAUUACCCUAAUGUAUGCACUGAAGAAAUCAAAAACAAACUUGAAGAAGAUGCCUGCACCUGAAGCAACAUGGUCACAAUAUCAAAUAAAAAUACUUAAAAGUUAUGAAACUUAUGGCGAAGCACGAUUACAUUUAAAAAAAGCGGAAGAAACCUGAAAUUUGGACUCAGACGAAGCAGAAAAUGAUGUUACAAAUGAAGUGACAGUGGACAUAAUGUCUGCUGUAAAUUACCCAGUCACCUCCGGUUCUAAAGAGGCCAAGCAAACACAACUCAAAGCUGUUAACUGCCAAUCAGAGUGCAUUACAAACAAGCAAUAUGCUAUACAGCAGAGUCAUAUGAUUCAGAUUGUGUCAGACCUAGCUAACCAAAUGGCUGAAAUCAAUAGAAAAUUGGAUUUACCGUUAGCUAGGUCCGAAGAAACAUUUUCACCAACAGAUGACAAUGCAGGUCUUUCAGAACUUUUGGCAAGUCUACCAGUAAAGAUAUUGCAAGUUUUAAUAAUUUCGAUGACCAUUUAAAAAUAAACAAGAAUACAGGCAAUAAUGUCAUUUUUGUCUGGUAUUGGCGGCAGAAAUGUAAGAAGCCUUACGACUAAUAUGUUGAGACGAAUAAUUCUAGAUGAUGUAGCCGAGUUGUAUUCGUUAACUGGGAAACAGAUGAAAAAUUCGAAUAAAAAGUCAUUUAUGAGUACAGAAACCUAUAAAUUAAUCUUUCAAAUAUGUAGAAAAAUCAACGAAGAUGUAACUGAAGACAGUCUAAAAGAAAUUAUAAGUGAUUGGCUAAAUCAAGCUAAAGUUAGACUUUCAAGAAGAGCAGAAACACAAAAUAAAGAAAAAAACCAAUAGCGGCGACCAUGAAACCGAUUUUUUCUCAUUUAAAGUAAGAUAAGAUAAAAGUAUAAAUAAUAAAAAAAUAUAUGUUA